AUGUGAAGAAAAUAAAAAGUUAUUGGCUAAAACUUAAAGGGUUGCCUGAAUUUUCAGCCCUAUACUAGUUAAAAUUUCAACAUUCCAUCCUAAACUUUUAGUCACUUGAAAAAUCACCAUAAACAAUUUUAAUCUCGAUAAAACUACAUGUACUUUCGGAUUUGUUCUUAAAACUACGCCUCCAAUUGAACCGACCAGUUAACCGAUAAUUAUACAUCCGGUUUGACUUACCCAUAAUUUAACCAAAACUAAUCCGAUUUUGACUUUAUUUUAACCCAAUUUAU
rnacentral:sRNA from 1 species